UGGGGAAUAUUGGACAAUGGGGGCAACCCUGAUCCAGCCAUGCCGCGUGAGUGAUGAAGGCCUUCGGGUUGUAAAGCUCUUUUGGCGGGGACGAUGAUGACGGUACCCGCAGAAUAAGCCCCGGCUAACUUCGUGCCAGCAGCCGCGGUAAGACGAAGGGGGCUAGCGUUGUUCGGAAUUACUGGGCGUAAAGCGAGUGUAGGUGGUUGUCCAAGUUGGAUGUGAAAGCCUUGAGCUCAACUCAAGAAAUGCAUUCAGGACUGGGCGGCUAGAGGACCGGAGAGGAUAGUGGAAUUCCCAGUGUAGUGGUGAAAUACGUAGAGAUUGGGAAGAACACCAGUGGCGAAGGCGGCUAUCUGGACGGUUUCUGACACUAAGACUCGAAAGCGUGGGGAGCAAACA
rnacentral:rRNA from 2 species